GACAGAGGGUGCGAACGUUGUUCGGAAUUACUGGGCGUAAAGCGCGUGUAGGCGGCAGCGCAAGUCGGGCGUGAAAUCCCACGGCUCAACCCGUGGAAGUGCACUCGAAACUGCGCAGCUAGAAGUCCUGGAGAGGAAGGUGGAAUGCUUGGGUGUAGAGGUGAAAUUCGUAGAUAUCAAGUCGGAACACGGUGGCGAAGGACGGCCUU
rnacentral:rRNA from 1 species